rnacentral:rRNA from 1 species
AUUGAACGCUGGCGGCAUGCCUUACACAUGCAAGUCGAACGGCAGCACGGGGGCAACCCUGGUGGCGAGUGGCGGACGGGUGAGUAAUGCAUCGGAACGUGCCCUGAAGUGGGGGAUAACGCAGCGAAAGCUACGCUAAUACCGCAUAUUCUGUGAGCAGGAAAGCAGGGGAUCGCAAGACCUUGCGCUUUGGGAGCGGCCGAUGUCGGAUUAGCUAGUUGGUGGGGUAAAGGCCUACCAAGGCGACGAUCCGUAGCGGGUCUGAGAGGAUGAUCCGCCACACUGGGACUGAGACACGGCCCAGACUCCUACGGGAGGCAGCAGUGGGGAAUUUUGGACAAUGGGCGAAAGCCUGAUCCAGCCAUGCCGCGUGAGUGAAGAAGGCC